AUACCCUGCACAACUUCUACACUCUACGCGGCGCGAAAACCCGCGACACCAGCAAGUGGACCGAGUAUCUGAACGAAACGCUGGAUAUGUGGGGUAACGACGCGGAAGUCCUGUUUAUGCCGCACACCUGGCCGGUCUGGGGCAAUAA
rnacentral:misc_RNA from 1 species